GUCCAAUCCGACCUGAGGAGUCACAGUUGUGAGCAAGUUCGGUGCCGCGGGCUGGGAUUAGAAUUACUUGUUAUUGGUAAAUAGCCACUAUGGAGACUAAGGACCAGAAGAAACAAAGAAAGAAAAAUAGUGGACCCAAAGCUGCAAAGAAAAAGAAGCGGCAUCUGCAGGAUCUCCAGCUAGGAGACGAAGAAGAUGCCUGGAAGAGAAAUCCCAAAGCUUUUGCAUUUCAGUCUGCUGUGUGGAUGGCUCGAUCCUUUCACAGGACUCAGGAUUUGAAGACAAAAAAGCAUCAUAUUCCAGUGGUUGAUCGAACUCCACUAGAGCCCCCACCAAUAGUGGUAGUGGUGAUGGGGCCUCCAAAGUUGGAAAGAGCACUUUGAUACAAUGCCUCAUUCGGAACUUCACCCGGCAGAAGUUGACCGAGAUCAGAGGCCCUGUGAUGAUCGUGUCAGGUAAAAAGCUCCGACUCACCAUUAUUGAAUGUGGGUGUGACAUUAACAUGAUGAUUGAUCUGGCUGAAGUAGCAGAUCUGGUACUGAUGCUUAUAGAUGCCAGCUUUGGGUUUGAAAUGGAAACGUUUGAGUUUCUAAACAUCUGUCAAGUACAUGGCUUUCCUAAAAUUAUGGGAGUUCUCACCCACCUCGACUUCUUCAAACACAAUAAGCAACUGAAGAAGACAAAGAAGCGAUUAAAACACAGGUUCUGGACAGAAGUUUACCUGGUUGCCAAGCUGUUCUGCCUUUCUGGAAUGGUGCAUGGAGAAUAUCAAAACCAAGAAAUGCACAAUCUGGGCCAUUUUAUUACAGUUAUGAAGUUUAGGCCUCUCACAUGGCAGACUUCUCAUCCUUAUAUCCUGGCAGACAGGGUGGAAGAUUUGACAAACCCAGAGGAUAUCCAAACAAACAUCAGAUGUGACCAGCAGAUGUUACUUUACGGUUAUUUAAGAGGAGCGCACUUGAAAAAUAAAAGCCAAAUUCACAUGCCAGGACGAGGUGGGGCCCACCCAUGAGCUGGUCCAGAGUCUCAUCUCCACCCACUCCACCAUUGAUGCCAAGAUGGCUUCAAGUCGAGUGAUGUUGUUUUCUGAUUCCAAGCCACUUGGGUCAGAGGCUAUAGAUAAUCAAGGGGACGAGUUCUCACUAUGUUGCCCAGGCUGGCCUCGAACUCCUGGGCUCAAGCAAUCCUCCUGCGUUGGCCUCCCAAAGUCCUGGGAUUACAGGUGUAAGCCACUACGGCUGGCCUAUUAUUGCUGUAUUCUAACUUAUUCAUCUCCUAUGUGUCAGAGAUGGCUUUGGAUUCCCCGUUCUGUGUGCUGCUGUCUGGCUCCUGAACCCAGCUGUAGAGGUGUGUCAAUCCCAACUGGUGAAGUACUGAGAGGAAGCUACACAAAAGGCAGCAAAGUAUUAGUGAGUGGUGUCAUUGAGCAAACACGAAGUCGGGCUCAUCCAAGGAUGAGAUUUUGCCAGAGAAAGGACGAGCAGCAAGUCAGGGAGCUUAAGGAUGGAGUCUUGCUCUGUUGUCCAGGCAGGAGUGCCAUGGCACGAUCUUGGCUCACUGCAGUCUCUGCCUCUUGAGUUCCAGUAAUUCUCCUGCCUCAGCCUCCUGAGUAGCUGGGAUUACAGGCAUGCACCACCACACCCAGCUAAUUUUUGUAUUUUUAGUAGAGACAGGAUUUCACUACAUUAGCUAGGCUGGUCUCAAACUCCUGACCUCAGUUGAUCCACCUGCCUUGGCCUCCCAAAGUACUAGGGUUACAAGUGUGAGCCACCAUGCCCAGCUGAGAUCUGAUGGUUUUAUACAUGUUUGACAGUUGCUCCUUCACAUGUUGCCACUCUCUGUGCGGCCACCAUGUAAGUCGGACCUGCCCUUCUGCCAUGAUUGUAAGUUUCCUGAGGCCUCCCCAGCCAUGUGAAACUGAGUCAAUUAAACCUCUUCCCUUUAAAAAUUACCCAACCUCAGGUAUUUCUUUAUAUCAGUGUGAAAACAGAUUGCUAUACUUUCUGAUAAUCAUGCUUAAGCAAUUGGGGAAUUCAGACUACCUGGGAUCAAACCAGGGCCCCACCCUUAGCAGUCAUGUGACCUUGGGGAGGUUACUUACCUUCUCCGUCUCAACAACUUCUGUAAAAUCUGUAACAUGAGAUUGUUUCUGAGGGUUAAAUGAGCAUAGCACAGUGGGGACACUGUCAGGCACACACUACUUGCCAGAUGUCAAGUAUUCAUCUUUAUUGAAAUAGGACUGUGGUAAGCCACUUUAUGGCUCUCGAUUCUGUAUGAGAAAAUCAUGCUUAGUGCCUUGUUAGUAAAAGAAAGAAAAUCUGAAAGUCCCUGCCAUGGAAGGAAGAAAUAGCGGGGAGAAAAGGGAGUUGGUAAGUUUCAGCAUUUCAGAGCUUGGAGGGACAAGUUAGGUUUCUAUUUUAUGGAGAAGGAGGUGGAGGCAGGAUGGGUCCUAAGGUGUCAUUCAAAACACACAGCCAUAACUCUUUAUUGAGAGUAGAGCUAGGGCCGCAGGGAUUGCUGUGGUCACGUUGCGGACAAAAAUGACCACUCGUUGGAAGACAGGAGAGGAGUGUUUAGUUACAAAAGCAGUCAACAAUUCAGGUGUAUCUAUAUUCAGUCAGCAAAUAAAAGUUGUUCAACUUGGUUGCUAAUGGGACCCACUCUACUGAGGCUUUGUAUAGAACUCAUAGAGGAAGAUGGCUUCAAGCAAUGAACUACCCUGUGCUUUUCUUAGGACUAAAAUCUCAGGAAGUUGGUGAUGAAUGAAAACCUUAGUCCCACUGGCACUGCACGAGGGGCCAGGAGAGCAGCAGCAUCAUAAGCCACAGGGUGGGGCAGCCAAGGCAGGGGCAUUCUGAGCUGUUGGGGAGGGGUGGCAGGCAGGGUGGGGCACUGUGAGGUGUCGGGGAGGGCAUUGUGAAGUGUGGGGUGGGGCAUUCUGUGCCACAUGCCUGGGCUCCCACCUGGGGCCAGUGGGCUUCAGUCUGUAGGUGACUACAGAAGGAGGAGGAGCUCCGUCUGUUCUCUCUUCAGGCAGUUGUUGUGUCUCUCAGCGCUUGUUGGGUUCACAACCUAUUAAAUAAGCCAGCUGGUCUUCACCCUCCCAGACAAGUCAACUCAGGGGAGGCAGCAGGGUGUGGGCCUUGACCCGCAGCCCUAGCCGGGGCCGGGGCCGGGGCCAGGGAUGGUGCCCGGGGCCGCGCUGUGAGGUGGGCAGGCGAGGAGCGGGAAGACCAUCUCUGCAAGUGCAGCAUAGCCUCGGCCUAGGACAGUGGGAGUGUGUGGCCAAAGCUGUGAGCAGAGGCACAGGUGGUGGCAGACAGUAGAGGCGCCCCAUGGGGAACAUACUGACCUGUUGUGUGCACCCUAGCGUCAGCCUCGAGUUUGACCAGCAACAGGGGUCGGUGUGUCCCUCUGAAUCUGAGAUCUAUGAGGCAGGAGCUGGGGACAGGAUGGCAGGAGCGCCCAUGGCUGCUGCUGUGCAGCCUGCUGAGGUGACCGUUGAAGUUGGUGAGGACCUCCACAUGCACCACAUUCGUGACCAGGAGAUGCCUGAAGCUUUGGAGUUUAGCCUUUCUGCCAAUCCAGAGGCAAGCACAAUAUUCCAGAGGAACUCUCAAACAGAUGCUUUGGAGUUUAACCCUUCUGCCAAUCCAGAGGCAAGCACAAUAUUCCAGAGGAACUCUCAAACAGAUGUUGUAGAAAUAAGAAGAAGCAACUGUACAAACCAUGUAUCUACUGAGCGUUUCAGUCAACAAUACAGCUCGUGUUCGACAAUAUUCCUUGAUGACAGCACAGCCAGCCAGCAUUAUCUUACAAUGACAAUAAUAUCUGUGACCUUGGAGAUACCUCAUCAUAUCACACAAAGAGAUGCAGAUAGAUCUUUGAGCAUACCUGAUGAACAGUUACACUCAUUUGCGGUUUCCACCGUGCACAUUACGAAGAACAGAAAUGGAGGUGGGAGUUUAAAUAACUAUUCCUCCUCCAUUCCAUCGACUCCCAGCACCAGCCAGGAGGACCCUCAGUUCAGUGUUCCUCCCACUGCCAACACACCCACCCCCGUUUGCAAGCGGUCCAUGCGCUGGUCCAACCUGUUUACAUCUGAGAAAGGGAGUCACCCAGACAAAGAGAGGAAAGCCCCGGAGAAUCAUGCUGACACCAUCGGGAGCGGCAGAGCCAUCCCCAUUAAACAGGGCAUGCUCUUAAAGCGAAGUGGGAAAUGGCUGAAGACAUGGAAAAAGAAAUACGUCACCCUGUGUUCCAAUGGCGUGCUCACCUAUUAUUCAAGCUUAGGUGAUUAUAUGAAGAAUAUUCAUAAAAAAGAGAUUGACCUUCGGACAUCUACCAUCAAAGUCCCAGGAAAGUGGCCAUCCCUAGCCACAUCGGCCUGUGCACCCAUCUCCAGCUCUAAAAGCAAUGGCCUAUCCAAGGACAUGGACACCGGGCUGGGUGACUCCAUAUGCUUCAGCCCCAGUAUCUCCAGCACCACCAGCCCCAAGCUCAACCCGCCCCCCUCUCCUCAUGCCAAUAAAAAGAAACACCUAAAGAAGAAAAGCACCAACAACUUUAUGAUUGUGUCUGCCACUGGCCAAACAUGGCACUUUGAAGCCACGACGUAUGAGGAGCGGGAUGCCUGGGUCCAAGCCAUCCAGAGCCAGAUCCUGGCCAGCCUGCAGUCAUGCGAGAGCAGUAAAAGCAAGUCCCAGCUGACCAGCCAGAGCGAGGCCAUGGCCCUGCAGUCGAUCCAAAACAUGCGUGGGAACGCCCACUGUGUGGACUAUGAGACCCAGAAUCCUAAGUGGGCCAGUUUGAACUUGGGAGUCCUCAUGUGUAUUGAAUGCUCAGGAAUCCACCGCAGUCUUGGCACCCGCCUUUCCCGUGUGCGAUCUCUGGAGCUGGAUGACUGGCCAGUUGAGCUCAGGAAGGUUAUGUCAUCUAUUGGCAAUGACCUAGCCAACAGCAUCUGGGAAGGGAGCAGCCAGGGGCAGACAAAACCCUCAGUAAAGUCCACGAGGGAAGAGAAGGAACGGUGGAUCCGUUCCAAAUAUGAGGAGAAGCUCUUUCUGGCCCCACUACCCUGCACUGAGCUGUCCCUGGGCCAGCACCUGCUGCGGGCCACCGCUGAUGAGGACCUGCAGACAGCCAUCCUGCUGCUGGCACAUGGCUCCCGUGAGGAGGUGAACGAGACCUGUGGGGAGGGAGACGGCUGCACGGCGCUCCAUCUGGCCUGCCGCAAGGGGAAUGUGGUCCUGGCACAGCUCCUGAUCUGGUACGGGGUGGACGUCAUGGCCCGAGAUGCCCACGGGAACACAGCGCUGACCUACGCCCGGCAGGCCUCCAGCCAGGAGUGCAUCAACGUGCUUCUGCAGUACGGCUGCCCCGACGAGUGCGUGUAGUAUCUGUUUUAUUUGACUGCAGUCUCCUUGGUGCAAAAACAAAAUGGGAAAAAUAAGGAUAACUCAGAAUUUCAAAAGGAAAUCACAAAUUCAGCUAGUAAUAGCAUUUUCAGUACUUUUCAUAAACUAAGUAAAUACACAAAAUGUUGAUUUUUCUGACCAUAAGACAUAUUUUAUGUCCUUUUGCCAAGGUGGAUGUGUUAGUCUCAGGCCCUCCUGGCCACAUUGCCCAAGUCACACAGGCUUCUGUAUUAUGUAUUUAGAUAAAAUGUGUGAAAAUAUAUUUGAAAAAAAAGUUCAUAAAUAUGCAUUGAUUUUUGUACACAUGGCACCUCUUUUUCAUUUUUAUUUUUAUUUUUUUUUUGGACGAUGUUUUGCUCUGUUGCCCCAGCUGGAGUGCAGUGGCAUGAUAUCUGCUCACUGCAAGCUCUGCCUCCCGGAUUCACACCAUUCUCCUGCCUCAGCCUCUCAGGUAGCUGGGACUACAGGUGCCUGCCACCACACCUGGCUAAUUUUUUGUAUUUUUAGUAGAGACGUGGUUUCACCAUGUUAGCCAGGAUGGUCUCGAACUCCUGACCUCGUGAUCCACCUGCCUCGGCCUCCCAAAGUGUUGGGAUUACGGGCGUGAGCCACCGUACCCGGCCCAUGGCACCUCUCUUAAUUUAUAAAUUGAACUGGAUGUGAAGUAAUAAUGUCAGCUAGUUGAGAUAAGAGGGUUACAGUUCGGCUGGGCGCAGUGGCUCACACCUGUAAUCCUAGCACUUUGGGAGGCUUAGGCGGACUGAUCACCAGGUCAGGAGAUUGAGACCAUCCUGGCUAACAUCAUGAAACCCCAUCUCUACUAAAAAAUACAAAAAAUUAGCUGGGCAUGGCCGGGCGUGGUGGCUCACACCUGUAAUCCCAGCACUUUGGGAGGCCGAGGCAGGCGGAUCACGAGGUCAGGAGAUCAAGACCAUCCUGGCUAACAUGGUGAAACCCCGUCUCUACUAAAAAUACAAAAAAAAAAAAAAAAAUUAGCCAGGUGUGGUGGCAGGCACCUGUAGUCCCAGCUACUCGGGAGGCUGAGGCAGGAGAAUGGUGUGAACCCAGGAGGCGGAGCUUGCAAUGAGCUGAGAUUGCACCACUGCACUCCAGCCUGGGCAACCAAGCGAGACUCCAUCUCAAAAAAAAAAAAAAAAUUAGCUGGGCAUGGUGGCGGGCACCUGUAGUCCCAGCUACUUGGGAGGCUGAGGCAGGAGAAUGGCAUGAACUCAGGAGGCAAAGCUUGCAGUGAGCAGAGACUGUGCCACUGCACUCCAGCCUGGGCAACAGAGCGAGACUCUGUCUCAAAAAAAAAAAAGAAAAGAAAAAGAGGGUUACAGAUCAUUGCACAUGGAAAAUAUUCCCAGCAGUAAACACUUCCAUUAAUGUGAUCUACAGCUUUUAAAAAGGAGCAUCUCAGAAUAAGAUGGUGGUACAAUUUGCUUAUUGAGAAAGGAAAAAAAAAACACACGAGUAUAUUACAAAGGGAAAAGAAGGAAUGUGAUUUCUCAUGAUUGAAAGCUUGAUUUAGAUUGCAUACAGCUUUUGCUACCCAAGACCAAGCGGCUCUGGCAAGACAGGGUGGUUUUCCGAAUGCCAGACCGAGGUGCCUUAUGAAGGCAGCUGCCGAUGGUUCCAGAUGUAGAGAGAUAGGUGAUGCAGGAGGGAAAGCUGGAUUGGAAAAGGGAGAGUUUUGUAGACCGGCUACACUCAUUGUGCCUUUGAAAGAGCAGAGCCGGCAGCCUCUAGUCAUCAUUUGGAUAUACAGGACUGGAGCAUGAAUCUGAUGUAGAGCUACAGAAUGAAGAGCAACAGCAGCUGUUUAAAUACCGAGAAAGUGUGUAGAAUGAAAUUGGACAAGCCAAGCAUGGUGGUUUCAUGCCUUUAGUCCUAGCUACUUCGGAGGCUGAGGUGGGGGAAUUACUUGAGCUCAGCAGUUUGAGUCCAGCCUGGGCCAGAUGUUGAGACCCUGUAUCUUAAGAAAAGAAAAAAAUAAGACCAGGUACAGUAUCUCAUGCCUGUAAUCCCAGCACUUUGGGAGGCCAAGUUGAGAGGACUGCUCGAGUGUAGGAGUUCAAGACCAGACUGGGCAAUAAAGUGAGACCCAUUUCUUUUUUUUUUUUUUUUAACUUCUUAAAUGCACAAAUUUAUUUUUUCUCAACAAACACACAUCUUAAUGCCUUUACAACUUUUAUCUCCCCAAAUAUAUCUUGCUUUUCUUUAUAUGUGCUGUAUACAGAGUUGUUUUCCUUAUAUUUAGUAGUUAUUGCUUUUUUGUGCCCUUUUGCGUCCUGAAUUUACACAUCAGGCAUAGAUCUUGGGACAGGAAAGAGCUGUGAAGCAAAUUCCUGGAAAAUCAAACCCCUUCCAGCAUGGCCAGGUAGCACAGCUGAGCCAGGGAUGAUGGGGCCAUAUUGGGUUUGGCUCUGCCUUGCAGCUGGCAGUCCAAACACUGAGGACAUGCAUAUUUCUGCAGGCCAGUGAGACCCAUUUCUACCAAAAAAAAAAAAAAAAAAUCAAGAAAUUAGCUGGACAUGGUGGCACAUGCCUGUGGCCCCAGUUACAUGGCAUGGCAGGCUGAGGCAGGAAGAUCACUUGAGCCCAGGAGGUGGAGGCUGCAGUGACCCAUAUACAUGCCACUGCACUCCAGCCUGGGCAACAGAGUGAGACCCUCUCUCAAAAACAGAUAAAGUGGACAGAAAAUAGGUUGGUAAGGACUAAUCAUUUAAGGGACAAGCCCCCAGAAGAGUGGCUACUAGAGUGGGAGGAGGAAAAGCAGAAGGAGAAAGAGUUGAAGACAGGCGAGGCUGUGGUCCCAGUGCUGAAUUCUGCCAAGCAGUGACUUGAUUCAUGAACACUCACUGGAUGCUGACUCUGUUGCUCUUCUGAGUGCUGGGGUAGAGGAGAGGAGAGGUGGAGCCCAGUUCUUGCUUUUAGGAGCUUAUGUUCUAGGAAGUUCAAGUAUUUUUUCAGGUAGUAUGAAAUAGCAGGAAGAGGAAGCAGGCUAAAGGGACACAGAGUGAUUGGGGGCUAUUUUAAGUAGAAUGAUAAGGAAGAGCCUGUCUAGAGAGCUAUUUGAACAAUGACCUGACUGAAGGGACAACAGAAAGCAGUGCUGACAUUACAGGUAGCAGGAUGACUGCCAAGACAGAAACGCAUUUCAUAUGUGUUUGAGGAACAAACAGCAAGGUGACCAGCAUGGGGAGAGUGAAGAAUGAGGGAAACCUUGAAUGAGAGUAAAGCAAUUCCAUCUUGGAGGCUAAUCUGCCAUAUUCUGAUUAAUCCCAGUUCCAAGAAUUCAUCUACAAUUUCUAUUUUAUCUUUUUAAAAAUAUUAUUUUUUAUUUUUUAUUUUUUGAGACAGUCUCACUCUGUCUCCCAGGUUGGACUGCAGUGGCACAAUCUCAGCUCACUGCAAACUUCACCUCCUGGGUUCAAGCGAUUCUCCUGCCUCAGCUUCCCGAGUAACUGGGAUUACAGGCGCCUGCCACCAUGCCUGGCUAAUUUUUGUAUUUUUAGUACAGAUGAGGUUUUACCAUGUUGGCCAGGCUGGUCUGGAACUCCUGACCUCAGGUGAUCCGCCCACCUUGGCCUCCCAAAGAGCUGGGAUUACAGGCGUGAGCCACCGUGUCUGGCCAUACACAUCCCUGCCGAAGCCCGCAUUACCCUUCCCCUAUGCUAUAGAAGCCCUGGGUCGGGGGGGUGGGGGUAAUGGCACAGGGAUCCACCAUCUUAUCUUGGUGCCAUCCCUGACUUGGCUUCUGUUCAUAAACGCCUAUUAAAUGUUUCUUUCUGAGAAACUGGAUUUGUCAGCCUCUUUCUUUGGUAUCUCAGGUUCCUUGGCCUUUGCGGGUAGGUUUAUAUAGACCUGCUCAGCACAGGACAGGCAGUUUCUCAAAAAAUUAAAAAUAGAAUUACCAAAUGAUCCAGCAAUAUCACUUCUGGGUAUAUAGCCAAAAUAAUUGAAAGCAAGGUCUCAUAGAAAUAUUUGUACACUGAUAUUUAUAGCAGUGGUAUUCACACUCAUCAAAAGAUGGAUGCAGCCUAAUUGUCCAUAGGCAGAUGAAUUGAUAAAAUGUGGUAUAUACAUACAAUAAAAUAUUCUUCAGCCUUAAAAAGGAAGGAAAUUCUAACACAUGCUACAACAUGGAUGAACAUUGAGGACAUUAUGCUAAGUGAAAUAAGCCAGUUAGAAAAAGACAAAUACUGUGUUCUUUCACUUAUGUGAAGCAUCCAGACUGAGUAAGCAAACUAAUAGAAACAGAAAGUAGAACGGGGGUUGCCAGGGACAUGGGGAAGGGAGAAAAUGGGAAGUUGCUUAGUGGAUAUAGAGUUUUGGUUUUGUCAGAUGAAAAAGUUCUGGAGAUUGGUUGCAUGGCAAUGUGAAUAUACUCUACAUUACCCAACCCAAGGGCUCUCCUUAACCCCUGUUCCGACUGCCACUUAGAAGUGGUUAAGGUAGUAAAUUUUAUGCAUAUUUUACCACAAUUCAAAAUAGAAUUAUUAUUUUUUUAUUAUAAUUUUUUGAGAUCCCUCACUCUGCUGCCCAGGCUGGAGUGCAAUGGCACCGUCUCGGCUCACUGCAACCUCUGCCUUCUGGGUUCAAGCGAUUCUCCUGCCUCAGCCUCUCAAGUAGCUGGAACUUACAGGCACAUGCCACCAUGCCCAACUAAUUUUUGUAAGUUUAGUAGAGACGGGGUUUCACCAUGUUCGCCAGGCUGGUCUUGAACUCCUGACUUCAGGUGAUCCACCUGCCUUGGCCUCCCAAAGUGCUGGGAUUACAGGUGUGAGCCACCAUGCCCGGCUGUCAAAUAGGUGUUUUGUUUUUUUGUUUUUUUUUUUUUUUUGAGAUGGAGGUUUGCUUUUGUUGGCCAGGCUGGAGUGCAAUGGCAGGAUCUCGGCUCACGGCAACCUCCACCUCCCGUGUUCAAGCAAUUCUACUGCCUCAGCCUCCCGAGUAGCUGGGAUUACAGGCAUGCACCACCAUGCCCAGCUAAUUUUGUAUUUUAUUUUAGUAUAGAUGGGGUUUCUCCAUGUUGGUCAGGCUGGUCUCCAACUCCUGACCUCAGGUGAUCCACCCACCUUGGCCUCCCAAAGUGCUGGGAUUACAGGUAUGAGCCAUUGCGCCUGGCCUUUUUUUUUUUUUUUUUUUUUUGUGAUGGACUUUUGCUCUUCUUAUCCAGGCUGGAGCGCAAUGGCACGAUCUCAGCUCACUGCAGCCUCUCCUCCCAGGUUCAAGUGAUUCUCUUUCCUCAGCCUCCUGAGUAGCUGGGAUUACAGGCAUGCACCACCAUGCCUGGCUAAUUUUGUAUUUUUAGUACGUAUGGGGUUUCUCCAUGUUGAUCAAGCUGGUUUUCAACUCCUGACCUCAGGUGAUCCACCCGCCUCGGCUUCCCAAAGUGCUAGGAUUACAGGCGUGAGCCACUGCGCCUGGCCUGAAAAAAAUUUUAAAGUUUGAGAAAAUACAAAAUUUUCAUAGUCUCCAAGUAUUUCUCCUAAGAUCUUUCCCCCUAUGAGGGGGAAAGAUAGUAACUUUACAAUGGAGAAACCCAGCAGAAACCUGAACCAAAUGAACAAGUUCAACAUCAUCAGUAAGAAGAACUAUCAAUGCCAUAACUCUGAUGGAAUGCACUGGGAAGGAUUCCACAUCAUUUUUGUGCUGUAAUUGCCAAAAGUGUGUAACUUCAGUCCAAUCAUGGAAAUACAUCAGACAAACCCAAAUCGAGGAACAUUUGACAAAUAGUGAUCAGUACUGGUUCAAGAUGUCACGGUUAUGAAAGAUAAGGAAAGAUUGAGGAACUGUUAUUGCAGUCCUACAAAAUGGCGAGAGACUAAGAAAUAACUAAAUGCAGCGUGAUCCUGGGUGGAAUUUGGGAACAGAAAAAGGACAUUAGUGGAAAAAGUGGUGAAACUCCAAUAAGGUCUUUUGUUUAGC
rnacentral:lncRNA from 1 species